rnacentral:rRNA from 1 species
GACGAACGCUGGCGGCGUGCCUAAUACAUGCAAGUCGAACGCAUUUUCUUUCCACGUAGCUUGCUACAGCGAAAGAAAGUGAGUGGCGAACGGGUGAGUAACUCGUGGGUAACCUGCCCAUCAGCGGGGGAAAACACUUGGAAACCGGUGCUAAUACCGUAUAAUUCCAUUUACCGCAUGGUAGUUGGGUGAUAGGCGCUUUUGCGUCAGUGUUGGAUGGACCCGCGGUGCAUUAGCAUGUUGGUGGGGUAACGGCCUACCAAGGCUGCGAUGCAUAGCCGACCUGAGAGGGUGAUCGGCCACACUGGGAGUGAGACACGGCCCAGACUCCUACGGGAGGCAGCAGUAGGGAAUCGUCGGGAAUGGACGGAAGUCUGACCGAGCAACGCCGCGUGAGUGAAGAAGGUUUUCGGAUUGUAAAACUCUGUUGUUAGGGAAGAACAAGGAUGAGAGUGGAAAGUUCAGCCCUUGACGGUAACUAACCAGAAAGCCACGGCUAACUACGUG